rnacentral:rRNA from 1 species
UGGGGGAUAUUGCACAAUGGGCGAAAGCCUGAUGCAGCGACGCCGCGUGGGGGAUGAAGGCCUUCGGGUUGUAAACUUCUUUUGCUCUGAACAAGGCAUGCCUUUGGGGUGUGUUGAGUGUAGGGGUUGAUUAGCGCCGGCUAACUACGUGCCAGCAGCCGCGGUAAUACGUAGGGCGCGAGCGUUGUCCGGAAUUAUUGGGAGUAAAGGGCUUGUAGGUGGCUGGUUGCGUCUGUCGUGAAAGCUCAUGGCUUAACUGUGGGUUUGCGGUGGGUACGGGCUGGCUUGAGUGCAGUAGGGGAGGCUGGAAUUCCUGGUGUAGCGGUGGAAUGCGCAGAUAUCAGGAGGAAUACCGGUGGCGAAGGCGGGUCUCUGGGCUGUUACUGACGCUGAGGAGCGAAAGCGUGGGGAGCGAACAGG